AUUUGCUUCUAUCUUUUUCUUUAAUAUUAUCUCAAGCAGAUCUGCAUUUUUUUCAUUAGAAAUACUUAAUAUAGAGAUUGACGGUGAAUAAAGCUCCAUCGCCAUCUUAGUUGGCUAUUCCUAUACUCAACAUUGAAUGAAAAUGUGUUGCAACUAAAGAUGAUUAAAGCCCCAUGACUACAAUCAGCAGCUAGCCAUAUCAAGCAACAUGCUCUACCAUCGGUCUACAAUGUUGCAGGAUUACUGAAAUUUUGUUAUGCUGAUGGUUAUCAUAUACAUAUUAGGAGAUGAACACAAGGACUAUAAUA